AUUGAACGCUGGCGGCAUGCCUUACACAUGCAAGUCGAACGGCAGCACGGAGCUUGCUCUGGUGGCGAGUGGCGAACGGGUGAGUAAUAUAUCGGAACGUACCCAAGAGUGGGGGAUAACGUAGCGAAAGUUACGCUAAUACCGCAUACGAUCUAAGGAUGAAAGCAGGGGACCUUCGGGCCUUGUGCUCCUGGAGCGGCCGAUAUCUGAUUAGCUAGUUGGUGAGGUAAAGGCUCACCAAGGCAUCGGUCAGUAGCUGGUCUGAGAGGACGACCAGCCACACUGGAACUGAGACACGGUCCAGACUCCUACGGGAGGCAGCGGUGGGGAAUUUUGGACAAUGGGGGCAACCCUGAUCCAGCAAUGCCGCGUGAGUGAAGAAGGCCUUCGGGUUGUAAAGCUCUUUUGUCAGGGAAGAAACGGUGAAGGCUAAUAUCCUUUGCUAAUGACGGUACCUGAAGAAUAAGCACCGGCUAACUACGUGCCAGCCGCCGCCGUAAAAC
rnacentral:rRNA from 1 species